UACGUAGGGUGCGAGCGUUUAAUCGGAAUACUGGGCGUAAAGCGUGCGCCAGGCGGUUUUGUAAGCCAGAUGUGAAAUCCCCCGGGGCUUAACCUGGGAAUGGCAUUUGGGACUGCAAGGCUGGAGUACGGCAGAGGAGACUGGAAUUCCCGGUGUAGAGGUGAAAUUCGUAGAUAUCGGGAGGAACACCAGUGGCGAAGGCGGCGACCUGGGCCAAGUACUGACGCUGAGUGCGAAAGC
rnacentral:rRNA from 1 species